AACGAACGCUGGCGGCAGGCCUAACACAUGCAAGUCGAACGCCCCGCAAGGGGAGUGGCAGACGGGUGAGUAACGCGUGGGAACCUUCCCUGUGGUACGGAACAACUGACCGAAAGGUUAGCUAAUACCGUAUACGUCCGAGAGGAGAAAGAUUUAUCGCCAUAGGAUGGGCCCGCGUCGGAUUAGCUAGUUGGUGAGGUAAUGGCUCACCAAGGGGACGAUCCGUAGCUGGUCUGAGAGGAUGAUCAGCCAAACUGGGACUGAGACACGGCCCAGACUCCUACGGGAGGCAGCAGUGGGGAAUAUUGGACAAUGGGCGCAAGCCUGAUCCAGCCAUGCCGCGUGAGUGAUGUAGGUCUUCGGAUUGUAAAACUCUUUCGCCGGGGAAGAUAAUGACGGUACCCGGAGAAGAAGCUCCGGCUAACUUCGUGCCAGCCGCCGCCGUAACAC
rnacentral:rRNA from 1 species